rnacentral:rRNA from 1 species
UCCAGACUCCUACGGGAGGCAGCAGUGAGGAAUAUUGGUCAAUGGGCGGAAGCCUGAACCAGCCAAGUCGCGUGAGGGAAUAAGGCCCUACGGGUCGUAAACCUCUUUUGCCGGGGAGCAAGGGCGGGGACGUGUCCCGGCCCGGAGAGUACCCGGAGAAAAAGCAUCGGCUAACUCCGUGCCAGCAGCCGCGGUAAUACGGAGGAUCCGAGCGUUAUCCGGAUUUAUUGGGUUUAAAGGGUGCGUAGGCGGCCUUUUAAGUCAGCGGUGAAAGUCUGUGGCUCAACCAUAGAAUUGCCGUUGAAACUGGGGGGCUUGAGUAUGUUUGAGGCAGGCGGAAUGCGUGGUGUAGCGGUGAAAUGCAUAGAUAUCACGCAGAACCCCGAUUGCGAAGGCAGCAUACCGGCGCUCAACUGACGCUGAGGCACGAAAGCGUGGGGAUCGAACAGGAUUAGAUACCCUAGUAA